rnacentral:rRNA from 1 species
CCUACGGGAGUCUGCAGUGAGGAAUAUUGGUCAAUGGGCGCAAGCCUGAACCAGCCAAGUCGCGUGAGGGACGACGGUCCUAUGGAUUGUAAACCUCUUUUGUCGGGGAGCAAAAGACGCCACGUGUGACUCAUUGAGAGUACCCGAAGAAAAAGCAUCGGCUAACUCCGUGCCAGCAGCCGCGGUAAUACGGAGGAUGCGAGCGUUAUCCGGAUUUAUUGGGUUUAAAGGGUGCGCAGGCGGAGGUGCAAGUCAGCGGUCAAAUUGCGGGGCUCAACCCCGUACUGCCGUUGAAACUGCAUCCCUUGAGUGCGCGAGAAGUAUGCGGAAUGCGUGGUGUAGCGGUGAAAUGCAUAGAUAUCACGCAGAACUCCGAUUGCGAAGGCAGCAUACCGGCGCGCAACUGACGCUCAUGCACGAAAGCGUGGGUAUCGAACAGGAUUAGAUACCCUAGUAGUC